rnacentral:rRNA from 1 species
AGAACGAACGCUGGCGGCAUGCCUAACACAUGCAAGUCGAACGCUUUCGGGGGUUUCGGCCUCCGAGGGAGUGGCAGACGGGUGAGUAGCGCGUGGGAACCUGCCCCUUUGUGGGGGAUAACCGAGGGAAACUUCGGCUAAUACCGCAUGCGCCGGGAGCAAUCCCGGGAAAGAUUUAUCGCAGAGGGAGGGGCCCGCGUCGGAUUAGGUAGUUGGUGGGGUAACGGCCUACCAAGCCUGUGAUCCGUAGCUGGUCUGAGAGGAUGAUCAGCCACACUGGGACUGAGACACGGCCCAGACUCCUACGGGAGGCAGCAGUGGGGAAUAUUGGACAAUGGGCGCAAGCCUGAUCCAGCAAUGCCGCGUGAGUGAUGAAGGCCUUAGGGUUGUAAAGCUCUUUCGGCGGGGACGAUGAUGACGGUACCCGCAGAAGAAGCCCCGGCUAACUUCGCGCCAGCAGCCGC